rnacentral:pre_miRNA from 1 species
GUCCGGAAAUAUUUGUCAUCAAAAUGAAUAAAAGGGGAUGUAUCUAGAUGUAUAUUAAUUCUAGAUACAUCCUUUUUUAUCCAUUUUGAUGACAAAUAUUUUCGGAC